rnacentral:ncRNA from 1 species
UCUAAAGCGAUGAAAGAAAAUAGUAGCAAGUUCUAAAUUUAUAGAGAGUCGGUGGUUGGUGCAAACCGAUAAUGAAGACUUGUGAAUCCAUUCUUGAGCGAGUUACGGAAUGCUUUUAGCUAGUAAGUAACUCCGGUAAUAUAGUCCGUUAACUAUACUAAGGUGGAAGAAUUACUUAUUAAUUCUUCAAUUAGGGUGGCAACGCGGGUAGCUCUCGUCCCUUUU